UCUGAGACACACACACACACACACACUAUUUACCUCUGUUUAAGGUCCAGUGUGUAAGAACUAGUGACAUCUGCUGGUGAGACUGCAGAUCACCACUGUCUGUCUGUCUGUCUGUCCUGAGGUCGUCCACUAAAUGGAGGACAUGUCUUGUUUGUUUGGUGUCUCUGAUUCUACGAGUCUGAAAACCUGCUGCACACCUGUAACAUCUGUAUGUUUAUGUCUCUAAUAAGUUCAACCACAGGACCAGAGAGACCAGAGAGGACAGAGAGGACAGAGAGGACAGAGAGGACAGAGGGGACAGAUUUAUCAUGAGUGCUCCUUAAUGAGGUCAAAGGCUAUUUAGGACCAGUGGACACUGAAGAGGAGAAACAAGAGGUUCAGCCUCAUGUUGGAGGGAAUCCCCUGCUCAAGUGUCCUUGAGCAAACGCCUAAAUGAAACUGCAUCCGUGGUCUGGAACUGACCCUGACUUCUGACUCUUAA